GAUGAAGAACGUAGCGAAAUGCGAUACGUAAUGUGAAUUGCAGAAUUCAGUGAAUCAUCGAAUCUUUGAACGCACAUUGCGCCCCUUGGUAUCCCGAGGGGCAUGCCUGUUCGAGCGUCAUUUCACCACUCAAGCCUGGCUUGGUGUUGGGCGACGUCCCCUUUGGGGACGCGCCUCGAAACGCUCGGCGGCGUGGCACCGGCUUUAAGCGUAGCAGAAUCUUUCGCUUUGGAAGUCGGGGCCCCGUGUGCCGGAAGACCUACUCGCAAGGUUGACCUCGGAUCAGGCAGGGAUACCCGCUGAACUUAAGCAUAUCAAUAAGCGGAGGA
rnacentral:misc_RNA from 1 species